UUUUUUUGUUUCCAAUUUAUAGAGUUCAAAAUUUACCAGUAACUUGUGGGAAGCAUUUAUGUUGAUACCUUUUUCCGCUUGGUAAUUAAAUUGUCAUUAAUGGAAAAAAUCAUGUACACGUGACAAAUGGAUCCGUGCACAACUUCACCCGAACAAGUCAGAAAGUGAAAGCACGAACGGAACCCAUGCUGCAAGUUGCAUCGCCCCACAACUAGCCAUCGUCACAUUCGCCUUAACUUCUGGGAAGGUCAUGUCAAAAGCUCUGCAUUUCAUGUGGAAACUUGCAAUUCACAUCUCCUCCUCCUCCUAAGUUACACAACCACUACCUUCCAAUAUCAUCAAUUCUCAAACAACUACAUAGUCGGUGCAAUUCUUAUCCCCUCCCAUCACAUUUUUAUUAUGCAUUCUAAGAACCCUAAGCUUCUAACUCUGUAAAAUUACCAAAAUCACAAACACCUCAAUCUAUGUGUUUCUUGUCUUAAUGUAAGUCAUAUAAGAAAUUGGGAAUUGGGAAUUGGAAAUUGGGUGAGGAGAUUACAAACAAAAUGUGUAAACUUUUAUAUUAUUCAUACUGAUUGUAGAUUAUAAGCUAUGAGGACAAGGAAAUUAGUACAAAGGGAACAAAGAAUACACCAACAUUACAUAAAUCCUUGUUUCAUUCUUCACUUUCUCUCGGUAAAGAGGAACAGUAAAAUGAUCAUACAAGGGUAAAAUUAAGAGAAACUUGGUGUUUUUCUUAGGUGACAAGCUCACACAACGUUGUGAUAUUAAUCAAAAAGUAUACAACAGCUACUUAAUGGCUAAAUUACAAAAGGAAAAGGAGAAAAGCCGAAAAAAGUGAAUGAAGAAAAAAAAAGGAAUACGAACAGUGUUUAAAGUUUGAGGUUUGAAGAUCGAAGUCAUCGUUGUUGAUG
rnacentral:lncRNA from 1 species